rnacentral:rRNA from 1 species
GAGUUUGAUCGUGGCUCAGAGCGAACGCUGGCGGCAGGCUUAACACAUGCAAGUCGAGCGGGCGUAGCAAUACGUCAGCGGCAGACGGGUGAGUAACGCGUGGGAACGUACCUUUUGGUUCGGAACAACACAGGGAAACUUGUGCUAAUACCGGAUAAGCCCUUACGGGGAAAGAUUUAUCGCCGAAAGAUCGGCCCGCGUCUGAUUAGCUAGUUGGUGAGGUAACGGCUCACCAAGGCGACGAUCAGUAGCUGGUCUGAGAGGAUGAUCAGCCACAUUGGGACUGAGACACGGCCCAAACUCCUACGGGAGGCAGCAGUGGGGAAUAUUGGACAAUGGGCGCAAGCCUGAUCCAGCCAUGCCGCGUGAGUGAUGAAGGCCCUAGGGUUGUAAAGCUCUUUUGUGCGGGAAGAUAAUGACGGUACCGCAAGAAUAAGCCCCGGCUAACUUCGUGCCAGCAGCCGCUGUAAC